GUUGCGUGUUUGUUUUCUGAGAAAAACAAGUGUAAAUAUGUAUCAUAUUAAAAUGAUAUUCUAUCCCUCUUCUGUCAGUAUUUGCGCUCAUUUUAACAGAAUUCAUCUUCAUUUAUCAUUUUAGAAAAAGAAUGAAAAUAAAAACAAAUGCUGGAAUUAAUUCUAUUACAUAUUAAAUAUUAGAAAUAUGUAAAAUGGCGGACACUCCACAUGAACGCGCAAACGAAGAGGAAGUGGGUAGGGAGGGGGUGUAGGGGGUACUUUGGAAAAGACCCCUGGCUGCUAUUUAAAAGACUUGGGAUGUUCCCAAUAAUUUACAGAAAGACUGCAUAAAGGGCUUAAAGUGUCUACCGGAGAGUCCGCAUGCACUCAACGAUUUAACAGCCUGAACCCCUUCCGGAUUUAUCGGGAACGCGCCUCAAAAUCCAUGAAUCCAUUGGGAUUGGGUUUGGUCGUUUCCCCGUUCAAGUUAAGUUUCACUUUCUGUGACAGUUGUGGCGCAGAUAAAUUUCUACAUCCAGACAUCCAUCUGAAGGUGGAGCUCUGACUCGUUCCAGGAAACAGCUCACCUGUGGCAAACACUUUUCUGACGGACGUGGAGUGGAGAGUCUUUGUCUUCAGCAGUUUGGAUGUUAACUGUGAAGGUAGAAAGUGUGUGUGACUGAUGUGGAUGUGACUUCAGCAGCAUGGAUCAGUGUGAGGACAGAGAGGAGGGAGUCCCUCCCUCUAAACGCUCUCGGUGUGGGGAACAUGACAGCUAGACCAAAGCUCAGAGAACAAGGAGGCAGCACAGACCAGACUCUGCUGGACCUGAACCUGAACCUGAACCUGAACCUGGACCUGGACCUGGACCUGAACCUGAACC